rnacentral:misc_RNA from 1 species
CCUAUGGGUGCAUCAGCUUCAACUGACCAUCGCGGAUCUCGUGGUUGAAGUUCAUGACACCCAUCAUCCGCUCGGGCCGACGCUUUAUUACGAAGAUCAGCGCCCCGCCGCCAAGACGCGCACCGGCGAAUUCUGGAGUGAUCGUGUGCCGAAGUUUCUCGGCUAUUUCGAGCGGCUGAUCGGCGCCAGCGGCGGGCCGUA